rnacentral:sRNA from 1 species
GACUCGAUCAACAGCGGACGUUUCGAA